UAUAGGGAAGCUUGGUUAAUAUCAGAGUUAAAGGGAAUGGUUGUCGGAGGCAGAGGUUCUGAAGUUCACGACUCCUAGAAGGGGAGGGGAAUGAAAGGCUCUCAGUGAAGAAGGACUUCUCAGAGCCUUUCUAUCCUGAUGACAACGUGACUCUUUCCAGAGAACAGCAGUGACAGCUCUGGAAUGUCUAGGGAGAGGAAGGGCUUAGUGACCAGAGUGCUGGCAGCACAAGGUUCUAGGUCACGUUUGUUUUCUUUGCACACUGUUUUAUUUAUUUAUUCUUUUUUUUUUUGGUUUUACUUAGAGUAUAUAUUUUGGGGUUGGUUUGGGCAUGCUGAUAGAGGUAAUGACCUAAGGCACCCCUUGGCCUUACUAUUGACAAUGUAGCAUUUCCACACUUCUUUGGCUACAGAACCAUUUUGAAUCUGUGUCAGAGGCACACACUUUAGGAAAAACCAACACAGGCAAAUAGUGCCCCUCAUUUUGAUCUACUUUUAUGAGUGUGCUUGAAAAACAGUUUAUUGUUUGCCCAUAUUUUCUGGUAGUAUAUGGAGGUUUUUUCCAUUUAAUGUUUUAAUCCAGCUAAUGUGUAUUUUUGUAUAUGAUGUGAGGGAGAGAUUCAACUUUUUAAUUUAUCUCUUUAUUUUAUAUUGCAGAAUACCAGUUGUCCCCAAACCUUGCAUUAAACGUGUUUUUGGUUUUGUUUUCAGGUCCAGAACCCUUCAGAUCGACUUACCAAUAAGUUCAAUAUGUAAAACAGUUAAAAUUUGGUUCAAAUGCGGAAGGAUGAGAGUUAUUGCAACCUGGCAACACUCCCUACCCCCAUUCUCACCCUCCCUACAGGGAAGGCUCCAGGGAGUACUUUGAAAACCGUUGGAAAAAUUCUCCUCAUAAAUGACUUGAAAUGCCAUGUCUGUAGUAUGCUAUGUUAAAUUUUUUUACCCAUUCCAAUUAUUUUUCUAUUUUCCUGCCAAUCUCAUACUUUAAAUUAAUUUAGAGGCUAAGAGCUUUGUAAUAUAACAAAGGAAGAAAUUAAAAUGUCUAAUAAGUAAAAUAACAACAUGUUAUUUUGGGGGGCCUGCAUAUUAGUGUAUUUCUUUAAAAUAAUGUCUACUAUUGGCAAGAGUUGACUAGGUCACCUUCAACAUGGAGAUUCACUUGGUAAAACUAUAUAUUGAUCAAUAAUUUGAUAAUGUGUGUCACAAGUUUACAAGGUUGAUAUUCUUUGAUCCAUCAAAUCACUUAUAGGAUUUAAGACUAAAUAAAUAACUGGAACUGUAUAGGAAAUUUUUCUGUUGUUUCUAUUAUUGAUAAUAUUGAAAAUGAUCCAAAUGCUUAACAAUGUGGGACUGGUUAAAUGAAUCCUGGCACAGCCAUAGGAUACUCCUCAGCCAUUACUGUGAUGUUGUAAAAAGGAAAAUAUUUUGAGUACUCGUGAUGCAUCUGGCACUGUACCAAGCACCUUAAUUAUUACUGUCUUACUUAAGCCUAACAGUAUCCGGAGAUGAUAGGUAUCAUUAUUCCCAUUUAUAGAUGAGAAAACACAGAAGUUCGAACAGCUAGUAAAGUAGUGUUGCUGGAAUUCAGUCCAUGUCUUCGUAACCUUAUUCUUUUUUUUUUUU